rnacentral:rRNA from 1 species
AGCAGUCGCCGCGGUAAUACAGAGGGUGCGAGCGUUAAUCGGAUUUACUGGGCGUAAAGCGUGCGUAGGCGGCUUCUUAAGUCGGAUGUGAAAUCCCUGAGCUUAACUUAGGAAUUGCAUUCGAUACUGGGAAGCUAGAGUAUGGGAGAGGAUGGUAGAAUUCCAGGUGUAGCGGUGAAAUGCGUAGAGAUCUGGAGGAAUACCGAUGGCGAAGGCAGCCAUCUGGCCUAAUACUGACGCUGAGGUACGAAAGCAUGGGGAGCAAACAGGAUUAGAUACCCCUGUAGUCCCUGUCUCUUAUAU